AGUCUAUAAAUCUAUCUUUGAUUAUCUGUGAGAAUAAUGUUCAUAAGUUGCAACCAUUUCUUAUCCCCGUUUUUUUAUAUAUAUUAUGAAUAGGUGCCCCUUUUGUUGCUGGCAAGCAUUACUAACUCCAAUACGGCUCCGCCGGGCCUGUAUCUGUAAUGGUUUGCCGGAAGUGGGAUGUCAAGAACAUUGACGGACGAUACAUGGGCACCUACUACAUUAUCUCCGAUAAGAAGACUUACAUGUAGUCCACAACCAUUAGAUUGGAGGAGAUGAGGGUGAAAAGAUGAGAUUCAGAGCAGUGGAUGUCCAAUCGUUUGCUUCCAGCCCCUCUUAAGAACGAAUCAGGUGAUAUAAACAAUAUAAAUGGCAGGAAACUCGAGGUGUUAAUGAAGAUAAUUUGUUUCAAAACCUUUCUAAAGACCUUAGAAGAGAUAUAAAGAGCCAACUUUGUCUGCAACUACUAAAAAUGAACACUUCUUAUCAUUUUUUAUUUGUUUCCAUUACAGAUUCCACACAAAUUUAGGCUUCCCGGGUGCCGAUGUUUGAUAAGAUGGAUGACCAGCUGAUGGAUGCUAUGUGUGACCAUCUGAAACGAGUUCUGUACUUGGUUUAUGCAAUAAAGCUACAAUCCCAUUUAGCCGCAAUAUUUCAAUUGAUGAAUAUGAACCUAACAAGGCAGUUAGAAGAGAAAAAUUGGUGGAAAAGAUGUACCAUGAAUCCAGAAGAGCAAUGAAAUACUUUUGUAAUCAGGAGAAAGCUCGACGAGUACUUGGGCGCAUGCCAAAAGCACACCUGAUUAUCACCUGGUAUAAGAUUUAGCUUGAGAUUGAUGAUGGCAUGAUGAGGACAAUUGUGGUGUUGUUUGAUGAACCCAGCGAGAAGUUGCUCAAUAGGACUGCCAAGUCCCUGGUUGCUUGAAGGUGCAAGAUGACCCACUUAAUGCAUCUGGGCAGCUGCUUUGAGAGCCGUAGUCUUCAAAACUUCCACUUUUAUUCCACUGAAAUGGGGUUUCCAUACACGAUGUGUCACUCAUCCUAGAAUGGCUUCCUCUACAAGUUACGACAUCUCUGUUAAGUUAUGGAAAUAAUCAAAUAAACGUUCAAAUGUGCCCAUUUGUCCACUAACGGCAGGGCUCUGCCAAUACACGCCAAGUCAAGUUUCAAUUCUUUUGCAGGUGCAAUUGCCCCUUUUCAGGAUGUUGAUAAGGAAUAUAGAGUGAAAGCUUAAUGCAUUAGUGGUGCCACACCGUAGCUUCAAACUGAAACAGGGAUGUCAAGCUUGCAGGAAAUAUAUAUAGUGUUCUCUUUUGCCAACUUAUGUAUAAUGUGCUGCGUGUUAACAAAGAACAAGACAACAUGACUAAACGGUUUGGUAGAUAGAGAGGUUGCAAGAAUAACUCUCAUAUAAAUCCUCUGAGGUACAACAUCAAGGAGAAUAAGUUUCGGGGAAAGGUGGAAAUGGUGCGAAGAGCUAGAGGAGCGACUGAAUCUGAGAAGACGGGUUAUGGUUCUUGACACAAUUCGUUCACUUAUAUAAUUUAAUGAUGCAGAAGUUGGUUAAAAAGGGUGCAAGCUGUUGUACAAGAAUUGUAGAUAUAUGUCAUGUUGAACUUCGUCAUUAAGGACGGUGAAGCUCAAAAAAGUGUGCGUGCAUUGCAUUUUUGUUGAUUUACAAAUGGGAACAACAAAAUAUAGAUGUUAAAAUGGUGGUUAUAACAUACGAGGCAGCCUGUGUUGUAGGUGUUGACAAUGAAGCAAGGGAGAUUUUGAAUAGAAGCACCUGGUGGUGUUAUUAUUGAUGAGCGAGCUAACAAUCACUUCCCAGCUCCUUUUGAAGUUUCAAACAAAGAUGAUGUAGCAGUUGCAUAAGUUGUCGGGAAGAGUCUCCAGAUGGAAACUAUUGAAAUCUAACGCCUCAGAAAGGUCCAUUCUAUUCCAUAAUUAUCUCUAUAUCUAUGCCAAUCUCCAUAUAUAUCUCCAGUUACAAAAUUAGUUAUUAGACACUCUAGGACAUUAGAUUUUAGUUGAAUUUUAUAGUCAUGACCAUGAAAUCUGAUAUCUGGUUUAUUCGAGAUGUAGCAUUAAUAUAUGUCAACCGUUAGAUAUGCUUAAAAAACUUAGGCAGUGCAUCAAAGCCAUUUUUCGCGCUAUGAUGACGCCUUC